UACAGAGGGGGCAAGCGUUGUUCGGAAUUACUGGGCGUAAAGGGCGCGUAGGCGGCCUGCUAAGUCGAACGUGAAAUCCCUGGGCUCAACCCAGGAACUGCGUCCGAUACUGGUUGGCUUGAAUCCGGGAGAGGGAUGUGGAAUUCCAGGUGUAGCGGUGAAAUGCGUAGAUAUCUGGAAGAACACCCGUGGCGAAGGCGGCUUCCUGGAACGACACUGACGCUGAGACGCGAAAGCGUGGGGAGCAAACAGG
rnacentral:rRNA from 1 species